AAAGCAGGCCGCAAUUACAGUGCUUCACUUUGUGGGCAUACUGCCAUCAUCCUGCUGAAAGAAAAGCCAUGUCGAUUCGUUCUGAUUUUGCCUUUCUGGGGGUAAAAUCAUGACAGCUUGACAUGGACCAUU
rnacentral:snoRNA from 1 species